rnacentral:rRNA from 1 species
UACGAAGGGGGCGAGCGUUGUUCGGAAUUACUGGGCGUAAAGGGCGCGUAGGCGGCCGAUCAAGUCAGAUGUGAAAGUCCUGGGCUUAACCUGGGGGACUGCAUUUGAUACUGAUUGGCUUGAAUGCAGGAGAGGAUAGCGGAAUUCCCAGUGUAGAGGUGAAAUUCGUAGAUAUUGGGAAGAACACCGGUGGCGAAGGCGGCUAUCUGGACUGUGAUUGACGCUGAGGCGCGAAAAGCGUGGGGAGCAAACAGG